AACGUACGCUGGCGGCACGCCUAACACAUGCAAGUCGAACGCAGUAGCAAUACUGAGUGGCGAACGGGUGAGUAUAAUGUGGGUAUCUGCCUUUUGGUUUGGAAUAACACGAGGAAACUUGUGCUAAUACCGGAUAAGCCCUUACGGGGAAAGUUUAAACGCCGAAAGAUGAGCCCGCACUUGAUUAGCUAGUUGGUAAGGUAAUGGCUUACCAAGGCUACGAUCAAUAGCUGAUCUGAGAGGAUGAUCAGCCACAUUGGGACUGAGACACGGCCCAGGCUCCUACGGGAGGCAGCAGUGGGGAAUCUUGCACAAUGGGGGAAACCUUGAUGCAGCGAUGCCGCGUGAGUGAAGAAGGCCUUUGGGUUGUAAAGCUCUUUCGUCGGGGAAGAAAAUGACUGUACCCGAAUAAGAAGGUCCGGCUAACUUCGUGCCAGCAGCCGCGGUAAUACGAAGGGACCUAGCGUAGUUCGGAAUUACUGGGCUUAAAGAGCUCGUAGGUGGUUAGAAAAGUUGGUGGUGAAAUCCCAAGGCUUAACCUUGGAACUGCCACCAAAACUUUUUGACUAGAGUAUGAUAGAGGAAAGUGGAAUUUCUAGUGUAGAGGUGAAAUUCGUAGAUAUUAGAAAGAACACCAAUUGCGAAGGCAACUUUCUGGAUCAUUACUGACACUGAGGAGCGAAAGCAUGGGUAGCGAAGAGGAUUAGAUACCCUCGUAGUCCAUGCCGUAAACGAUGUGUGCUAGACGUUGGAAAUUUAGUUUUCAGUGUCGCAGCGAAAGCGUUAAGCACACCGCCUGGGGAGUACGACCGCAAGGUUAAAACUCAAAUGAAUUGACGGGGACCCGCACAAGUAGUGGAGCAUGUGGUUUAAUUCGAAGAUACGCGCAGAACCUUACCAACACUUGACAUGUUCGU
rnacentral:rRNA from 1 species